rnacentral:misc_RNA from 1 species
GAAAUGCGUUAAGUAAUGUGAAUUGCAGAAUUCAGUGAAUCAUCGAAUCUUUGAACGCACAUUGCGCCCCUUGGUAUUCCAUGGGGCAUGCCUGUUCGAGCGUCAUUUGUACCCUCAAGCUCUGCUUGGUGUUGGGUGUUUGUCCCCGUCUCCGCGCGUGGACUCGCCCCAAAGUGAUUGGCAGCCGGCGUACUGGUCCCGGAGCGCAGCACAUGUCGCGCAAACGAGUGCCUUGGUACGGCGGCGUCCAUAAGCCCCUCUCUCACGCUCUUGACCUCGGAUCAGGUAGGGAUACCCGCUGAACUUAAGC